rnacentral:piRNA from 1 species
UGUAGACAGUGAUGACGAUGAGAGCU